rnacentral:rRNA from 1 species
CCUACGGGUGGCAGCAGUGGGGGAUAUUGCACAAUGGGGGGAACCCUGAUGCAGCGACGCCGCGUGGGUGAAGAAGCGCCUCGGCGCGUAAAGCCCUGUCAGCAGGGAAGAAAAUGACGGUACCUGAAGAAGAAGGCACGGACAACUACGGGCCAGUAGCCGCGUGAAUACGUUGGGGGCAAGCGUGAGCCGGAUUUACUGGGGGUAAAGGGGGCGGAGACGGGGAGGCAAGCCAGGAGUGAAAGCCCGGGGCCCACCCCCGGGACUGCUCUUGGUACUGCGUGGCUGGAGUGCAGGAGGGGCAGGCUGAAUUCCUGGUGUAGCGGUGAAAUGCGUAGAUAUCAGGAGGAACCCCGGUGGCGAAGGCGGCCUGCUGGACUGCAACUGACGUUGAGGCCCGAAAGCGUGGGGAGCAAACAGGAUUAGAUACCCGGGUAGUC